UGGAGUCUGCAACUCGACUCCAUGAAGCUGGAUUCGCUAGUAAUCGCGCAUCAGCCAUGGCGCGGUGAAUACGUUCCCGGGCCUUGUACACACCGCCCGUCAAGCCAUGGGAGUCGGGAGUGCCUGAAGUUCGUGACCGUCACAGGAGCGACCUAAGGCAAGACCGAUGACUGGGGCUAAGUCGUAACAAGGUAGC
rnacentral:rRNA from 1 species